rnacentral:rRNA from 1 species
AUGGCUGAUGAGUCAUGGAGGUUGCCAAACUCGGUGCAGCAACUGGCUGCAACUGUGCAGGAGCCGCCGAGCCAGUACUUGCUCAGAGAGCAUGAAGGUCUUGACGGGCACCUGGCUGGUGCCGAGUUGCCAGAGCAGAUCCCAACCAUAGAUCUCGGCCUGCUAUCAGCAUCCAACGAUGCGGAGGAAGCCACCAAGCUACGAUCUGCGUUGCAGAGCUGGCGAUUCUUCAAGGUUUCUAACCAUGGAAUGGAGACCUCUAUGCUGGAUUCUGUGAUGACUGCAACAAGGGAAUUUUUUCACCUACCGCUUGAAGAGAAGAAGAAAUGCAGUAACCUGAUAGAUGGGAAACAUUUCCAGGUAGAAGGGUAUGGAAAUGACCAGGUGAAAACUCAACAUCAGAUUUUAGACUGGUCUGAUCGACUGCAUCUUAGAAUUGAGCCAGAGGGUGGGAGAAACCUUGCACAUUGGCCAACACAUCCCAAAUCUUUCAGGGAUGAUCUGCACAAAUACGCAUUGAAAUGCAAGAGAAUCAAAGGCGACAUCCUUCGGGCAAUAGCCAAGCUUUUGGAGCUUGAUGAAGACUCCCUCGUUAAUCAGUUUAACAGUAACGCCCGCACUUAUUCUAGAUUCAACUACUUCCCGCCGUGUCCAAGACCUGAUCUUGUCCUGGGCGUCAAGCCUCACGCGGAUUUCUCUGUUCUCACGGUUCUUCUCAUGGACAAAGAUGUCGCUGGGCUGCAAUAUCUUAGAGAUGGAACCUGGUACAAUGUUCCAGCUGUGUGUAACCACACCUUGCUGAUCAACAUUGGUUUUGCAAUGGAGAUAAUGACCAACGGGAUCUUCACAGGGCCAGUGCAUAGAGUUGUGACUAAUGCCGAUAAAGAGAGGAUAUCAGUGGCCAUGUUCUAUGGUGUGGACCCUGAUCAAGAGAUUGGGCCAAUAGCUCAUCUGUUGAGUCAUGAGCAACCGGCACGGUACAGGAAAAUGAAGGCCAAGGACUUACUAGUCGCGCAACUUGACCAUUUCUCUCAAGGCCGAGGAGCACGAAUUGCCGAUGCAUUCAAGAUCUAA